rnacentral:rRNA from 1 species
CAGUAGCCGCGGUAAUACGGAGGGUGCAAGCGUUAUCCGGAUUCACUGGGUUUAAAGGGUGCGUAGGCGGAUCUGUAAGUCAGUGGCGAAAUCUCCAGGCUUAACCUGGAAACUGCCGUUGAUACUAUAGGUCUUGAAUUUUGUGGAGGUUAGCGGAAUAUGUCAUGUAGCGGUGAAAUGCAUAGAUAUGACAUAGAACACCAAUUGCGAAGGCAGCUGGCUACACAACUAUUGACGCUGAGGCACGAAAGCGUGGGGAUCAAACAGGAUUAGAUACCCCGGUAGUCCCUGUCUCUUAUAC